rnacentral:lncRNA from 1 species
UUUUUCGGUGCGUCUGGUCGGGGAGCGGGAAGGGGUAUGUGUGUUUGGGCUGUUCACCGUAGGGAGCUGGGUCUGCGUCUUUAUGUCUGUUCCCUGAAGUGGGUGGAACGUUGGCCCGUUCCGGGAAUGUUCCAUGACGUGGUGCAGCCACAGGAAGGGGGUUAACGAGGGGCUCUGCCGCGGCGGCUCUGCCGGCUGCUAUCAAAGCAGAUGUGCUGCUGCUGCUUCUCCUCUCUUAUCCCCCCCCCCCUUCUGUGCGUCUGGUACUGGUAGGGGACUCUGAAAAGCAAACUUACUGUGCUCAGUGUUGCAAUAGUCCAGUCAACUAAGUCGCUUCCGGCAGUGUCCUGUAAACCGCGGAGACUGUGGUUCCUGCGUCCUCCUGCCUGUCUCUGGUGAACCAUUCAGCUGGAGAAAGCCACACAAGUCCGGCAUUGUAGGUGCCUCUGAUUUAUUAU